rnacentral:rRNA from 1 species
GACGAACGCUGGCGGCGUGCCUAAUACAUGCAAGUUGAGCGCUGAAGGUUGGUACUUGUACCAACUGGAUGAGCAGCGAACGGGUGAGUAACGCGUGGGGAAUCUGCCUUUGAGCGGGGGACAACAUUUGGAAACGAAUGCUAAUACCGCAUAAAAACUUUAAACACAAGUUUUAAGUUUGAAAGAUGCAAUUGCAUCACUCAAAGAUGAUCCCGCGUUGUAUUAGCUAGUUGGUGAGGUAAAGGCUCACCAAGGCGAUGAUACAUAGCCGACCUGAGAGGGUGAUCGGCCACAUUGGGACUGAGACACGGCACAAACUGCUACGGGAGGCAGCAGUAGGGAAUCUUCGGCAAUGGACGAAAGUCUGACCGAGCAACGCCGCGUGAGUGAAGAAGGUUUUCGGAUCGUAAAACUCUGUUGGUAGAGAAGAACGUUGGUGAGAGUGGAAAGCUCAUCAAGUGACGGUAACUACCCAGAAAGGGACGGCUAACUACGUG